CAGCCGCCGCGGUAACACGUAGGCGGCAAGCGUUGUCCGGAAUUAUUGGGCGUAAAGGGCUCGCAGGCGGUUUCUUAAGUCUGAUGUGAAAGCCCCCGGCUCAACCGGGGAGGGUCAUUGGAAACUGGGAAACUUGAGUGCAGAAGAGGAGAGUGGAAUUCCACGUGUAGCGGUGAAAUGCGUAGAGAUGUGGAGGAACACCAGUGGCGAAGGCGACUCUCUGGUCUGUAACUGACGCUGAGGAGCGAAAGCGUGGGGAGCGAACAGGAUUAGAUACCCGCGUAGUCCCUGUCUCUUAUAC
rnacentral:rRNA from 1 species